GAUGAACGCUGGCGGCGUGCCUAAUACAUGCAAGUCGAGCGAACAGACGAGGAGCUUGCUCCUCUGAUGUUAGCGGCGGACGGGUGAGUAACACGUGGAUAACCUACCUAUAAGACUGGGAUAACUUCGGGAAACCGGAGCUAAUACCGGAUAACAUGUUGAACCGCAUGGUUCAACAGUGAAAGACGGUCUUGCUGUCACUUAUAGAUGGAUCCGCGCCGCAUUAGCUAGUUGGUAAGGUAACGGCUUACCAAGGCAACGAUGCGUAGCCGACCUGAGAGGGUGAUCGGCCACACUGGAACUGAGACACGGUCCAGACUCCUACGGGAGGCAGCAGUAGGGAAUCUUCCGCAAUGGGCGAAAGCCUGACGGAGCAACGCCGCGUGAGUGAAGAAGGUCUUCGGAUCGUAAAACUCUGUUAUUAGGGAAGAACAAAUGUGUAAGUAACUAUGCACGCCUUGACGGUACCUAAUCAGAAAGCCACGGCUAACUACGUG
rnacentral:rRNA from 1 species